rnacentral:tmRNA from 2 species
GGGGGUGAAUAGGAUCGACAGGGAUCGUUUGUCUGAAGGCCGCAGGCCCUGGUUGGUCGGAGCCAGGAUAAAAGCUGACCAAAACACAAAAGCCAACUCACCGUUGGCCUGGGCCACUGCCUAACAAGCAGUAAGUCCACGCCGGUCCCCAACACCUGCUAGGGGAGCGCCGGCGUCAAUCAGCAGGCUGGGAGCCGCGCCGCGCGCUUCGUCGGCGCGGUUCCGAGAACACACGGAGCUGGCCUCGGGAUACUCGUCCGGCGGUUUUCCCGGGGCGAGACCAACGUCGGACUAAGCCUGUAGUGGCCCCAGAGGGCGGUUCUUGGACGCGGGUGCGAAUCCCGCCACCUCCACCA